GUGGAUGAACUUGGUGUUUAGACUCAGAAGUGGGACUUAAAACAUUUAAUACGAGGUGCAGGUUCGAUUCCUGUCAUCCACG
rnacentral:tRNA from 1 species